AGGUAAGUAGGCUACUAUUGGGUUUCUUUAGAAGAAAUUUCGUAAAUGUCAUUAAAUCAGAUUUACUUGUUUCAGUUAUCAAAGUAGUGGAUGAGGGAAACUAGAUUUCUACAUAUGGGAGAAAUUUGAUUAAAGUUCUUCAUAAGAUUAUAUCAGACUUUAAUAAUGCCAAAGAAAAUUCUGGUGCCAGCUUGCUCCAAGAAAAAUACAAUAACCUGCUGUGUUCAUCACAGGAUGAUGUUAAAUCAGUUUAUCUAAAGAAGGAUGUGAUGUGAAUCUAUUUAAAUGUUUUAUUGAACAGAUGUUGAAACUGUUGCUGUCGGUGGGAACAGUUUUGAUGCAAGAUAAUCCAGAGUAAAUAUUUUACGUUAUGUUAUCUAUUCUUUACGAUCCCAGUGUGUGAGCGGGCUCUCAAGUGAAUCUUAACACAUGUGCAGAGAACAAUCAGCUGAAUAACCUGCAGUAUUACAUCUGUAAGUGUCAUCUUCAUGUGAAAGUACGAGUUGUCUCACCUCAGGCACAGAGCUGAUGGCAUGAACCUGACCAAUGAGAGAGCAGUAGGACUGGAAGAGGAGGAGCAGCUGGAAGUGCAGCUUGUAGAGCCUCUGACAAAGCUCCAGUUGCUAAAAGACAUUAAGGAAGGAACAGAGUGAGAUUUAACACACAGACACAGUCACACAUGCACACAGAGGACCACAAACACACAGUGACACAAUUAGCUGAUUGCCUUGUGCUAAGUUAAUCUGUCCCAUAGGAAUCUAAAGCAGUGAAGUGAAGAAACAUGGAAGAGAACUUACUGCAAGAGACUCCAUUUGCUAGACAGCGAGAGAGCAUGUUAGGGAAUCAGAGUGAGGUGAGAGGAAGACAAAGCAUCAAUCAAACACAUGCACAGCAAAGCAUCAACUAUUCACAGUCAAGCUAGCAAGAAUUAGUCAACAGUAUAAAGAAUGCAGAAACUGUACAUGUCAGUGAGUCCUGGUGGCUAGGAGGAAAAGUCAGGAUGAUAAAAAAGAUAACAGAGCAAACACGCAAAGGGAGCAAAUAUCUUAGCCUAGAAGAACAACAAGCAAGAUGAGGAAGGUUCCUAUAUGUUUUAGUGAGUUUGUGUAUAAAUUCUACAUGUAUCUGUAAAAAUACAUUCUCCAUUCGCACCUUCUCCUCUGAGUCUCCAGGCUGGCACGAAACUACGCUCUCACCAGGACACCGUGGAAAUGUGUCCCUACAGUUCCUCAGCCACUGAAGGGGAAACAUGUAACACAACAGGAGUGGGAGGAAGAGGGAGGAGAUAAAGGAAGUUGAGUCAGUCACUCAUUUCAAAGAUGAAAAACAAAACUAGCUUAGCAAUAAUGUCCAGAGGCUGACUUACCAAUACAGCAGCCUCCUCUUUGGUGUUGUAGGUGUCCAGGUAUUCCUGCAGCUCCAGCGCACUGAACUUCAUCUUUUCAAGGAGACCAUAGGACAUGAUCUGCAGAGAGAAAAAGAAGGGCUCCGUACAUUUGACUUAACUAACUAACUCAACAUAAAUCCUGUUUCACAUUUUUUGCAGUCCUUUGCACAGUUAUGUCUGCCAGCAAUGCUCACCGUGUCAGCAUCGAUGUAGAUUGUGGGACAAUCGGAGCAAGUGGUUAGCAUCUGUGAGGAUCUUUGGAACUUUGAUCCGAUGCCCCUCAAGCCCUCUCCCAGGAUUUACCUUAAAGAGAGAGGAGAAGACUUGGAACGUGUACACGGCGCAGGACCCAUCAGAGUCUGUCACGAGCUGGUUGAUAUGACAGCGCCACGCGUCCUCGGCGUCGUCACACACUGUGGGUUGGAAGGCUGCCAAGAUGGCGGAGAAAAAUGGAGAGGGGGGAGGAGGAAAACCAAGGUCUUCCAAGUCAUCUACAUCAUCACAUCCAACAGUCAAGGCUACGUACGAGCUGAGAGUGAGAGAGGCUCUGGCUGGUUGAAGACUCCUCCUCCUCUGACGACUCAUCCGAAUCGUGGGGGUCCUCGUGACCCAGGCUGGGAGUGCUGCCUGAGUGCUGGCUCUCCUCUAACAUGUCCCCCAGCUCCGUGCUGUCCAGAGAUCGCCGACGCACGCCCCAAUUAAAGUUAUCGACAGUCUCGCCCUGAAUAAAACACACGCAUAUACAUUGGAAGACAAGUGCCGAGGCGACAGUUGCAAGGAAGAAGAACAAUGGCUGCUGAUGGGAAACAAAGGAGCCAGCAACCCCAAAGCGCUGAUUAAAGCUGAUCUCCACAUCCAGGAAGUCAAAGUCUCUGAAAACCCUGAACUGCUGCUCACUGGCGGUGUCAUCGAGUGUGUCCUCUCUGGUCCCGCCCUCCUCCGAUGACACGCCACUCUCUCGCACCUCCAUCAUGUCCAAGUCGCCACACGAUGAGAAGAUCACCUGACGAGAAGAACAGGGAACUGUAUUUAAACUCAUCACACACAGGGUGUAAAGCUCUCUAAAGAUGAUUCUCUGUUAAAUUCUGGAGAGACAGGAAGAAGUUGCUGAAUUUAACUAUUUCAAAAGUGACUUCUGCUCUUUUGUAUAUUUCGGUAAUUUAUCACAGCACAGGUAGGAUAUUGUAAAGAAGAGACGGGGACGUAGCUUACAGAUGGGUUCUUUGUGAGUCCAACUUCUUGUCCACAAAGAGACAAAACGUUCACCAGCUUCUCUCUGGUUCUUUUCUGUACGUAGAAGAAAGACAGUGAGCGAUUAAAGUAUUAAUCAAAGAAGGAAUAAACAUAAACUUUAACCUACUCAAGAUUGUCCCUCUGAAGUUUCUUGGCUUGUUUUUAUCUGCUUCAGCUGUUUAAAUAACCAUAAAUAAUU